UCCACUGUUCCAUCAGCGACUGGGCGAACAUAGGGCACAUGGCCACUCUUAUGCUGCGUUUUUUGAAGUUUUUUCCACUGUUCCAUCAGCGACUGGGCGAACAUAGGGCACAUGGCCACCCUUAUGCUGCGUUUUUUGAUGUUUUUUCCACUGUUCCAUCAGCGACUGGGCGAACAUAGGGCACAUGGCCACCCUUAUGCUGCGUUUUUUGAAGUUUUUUCCACUGUUCCAUCAGCGACUGGGCGAACAUAGGGCACAUGGCCACCCUUAUGCUGCGUUUUUUGAUGUUUUUUCCACUGUUCCAUCAGCGACUGGGCGAACAUAGGGCACAUGGCCACUCUUAUGCUGCGUUUUUUGAUGGUACGUGCCUCUCUUGUCCUGCCCGAGGGAUCAUGACGCGUACAUGCUGCUUCUCUUCCAGUUUUUUCCACUGUUCCAUCAGCGACUGGGCGAACAUAGGGCACAUGGCCACUCUUAUGCUGCGUUUU